UACGUAGGGGGCAAGCGUUGUCCGGAUUUACUGGGCGUAAAGAGCGCGUAGGCGGAACGUUAAGCGGGGCCGGAAAGCCCCCGGCUCAACUGGGGAGGGUCACGCGAUACUGAUCGACUCGAAGGCAGGAGAGGGUAGUGGAAUUCCCGGUGUAGUGGUGAAAUGCGUAGAUAUCGGGGAAGGAACACCAGUGGCGAAGGCGACUACCUGGCCUGUUCUUGACGCUGAGGCGCGAAAGCUAGGGGAGCAAACGGGG
rnacentral:rRNA from 1 species